GUCCAGGUUCAUACCACUCUGAACAUCCUUUCUGGUCUGACCUCAGAAGCUAAGCAGAGCGGGGCCUGGUUAGUUCUUAGAUGGAAAUAAACAUGCCUUGUGGGGCGCUGCGCUCUGGGAGCCCACAGCGCCGACU
rnacentral:rRNA from 1 species